rnacentral:rRNA from 1 species
CUUCCAGGAAAAGCCUCUAAGCUUCAGAUUGUAAGGAAUCGUACCCCAAACCGACACAGGUGGUCGGGUAGAGAAUACCAAGGCGCUUGAGAGAACUCGGGUGAAGGAACUAGGCAAAAUGGUACCGUAACUUCGGGAGAAGGUACGCUCUUGAUGGUGAAGUCCCUUGCGGAUGGAGCUGACGAGAGUCGCAGAUACCAGGUGGCUGCAACUGUUUAUUAAAAACACAGCACUGUGCAAAAUCGUAAGAUGACGUAUACGGUGUGACGCCUGCCCGGUGCCGGAAGGUUAAUUGAUGGGGUUAGACUUCGGUCGAAGCUCUUGAUCGAAGCCCCGGUAAACGGCGGCCGUAACUAUAACGGUCCUAAGGUAGCGAAAUUCCUUGUCGGGUAAGUUCCGACCUGCACGAAUGGCGUAAUGAUGGCCACGCUGUCUCCACCCGAGACUCAGUGAAAUUGAAAUCGCUGUGAAGAUGCAGUGUACCCGCGGCUAGACGGAAAGACCCCGUGAACCUUUACUACAGCUUGGCACUGAACAUUGACCCUACAUGUGUAGGAUAGGUGGGAGGCUUUGAAGCACGUACGCCAGUAUGUGUGGAGCCGUCCUUGAAAUACCACCCUUGUAGUGUUGAUGUUCUAACGUCGACCCCUUAUCGGGGUUGCGGACAGUGCCUGGUGGGUAGUUUGACUGGGGCGGUCUCCUCCCAAAGAGUAACGGAGGAGCACGAAGGUGGGCUAAUCACGGUUGGACAUCGUGAGGUUAGUGCAAUGGCAUAAGCCCGCUUGACUGCGAGAAUGACAAUUCGAGCAGGUGCGAAAGCAGGUCAUAGUGAUCCGGUGGUUCUGAAUGGAAGGGCCAUCGCUCAACGGAUAAAAGGUACUCCGGGGAUAACAGGCUGAUACCGCCCAAGAGUUCAUAUCGACGGCGGUGUUUGGCACCUCGAUGUCGGCUCAUCACAUCCUGGGGCUGAAGUCGGUCCCAAGGGUAUGGCUGUUCGCCAUUUAAAGUGGUACGCGAGCUGGGUUUAGAACGUCGUGAGACAGUUCGGUCCCUAUCUGCCGUGGGCGUUGGAAGAUUGAAGGGGGCUGCUCCUAGUACGAGAGGACCGGAGUGGACGAACCUCUGGUGUUCGGGUUGUGUCGCCAGACGCAUUGCCCGGUAGCUAAGUUCGGAAUCGAUAACCGCUGAAAGCAUCUAAGCGGGAAGCGAGCCCUGAGAUGAGUCUUCCCUGAUACUUUAAGUAUCCUAAAGGGUUGUCGGAGACUACGACGUUGAUAGGUCAGGUGUGUAAGUGCUGUGAGGCAUUGAGCUAACUGAUACUAAUUGCCCGUGAGGCUUAACCAUACAACAC